ACCUGGGAUAGCUCAGUUGGUAGAGCAUGGGACUGUUGAUCUCAGGGUCAUGGGUUUGAGACCCACAUUGGAUG